GAUGAACGCUGGCGGCGUGCCUAAUACAUGCAAGUCGAGCGAACGGACGAGGAGCUUGCUCUUCUGAUGUUAGCGGCGGACGGGUGAGUAACACGUGGAUAACCUACCUAUAAGACUGGGAUAACUUCGGGAAACCGGAGCUAAUACCGGAUAAUAUAUUGAACCGCAUGGUUCAAAAGUGAAAGACGGUCUUGCUGUCACUUAUAGAUGGAUCCGCGCUGCAUUAGCUAGUUGGUAAGGUAACGGCUUACCAAGGCAACGAUGCAUAGCCGACCUGAGAGGGUGAUCGGCCACACUGGAACUGAGACACGGUCCAGACUCCUACGGGAGGCAGCAGUAGGGAAUCUUCCGCAAUGGGCGAAAGCCUGACGGAGCAACGCCGCGUGAGUGAUGAAGGUCUUCGGAUCGUAAAACUCUGUUAUUAGGGAAGAACAAAUGUGUAAGUAACUGUGCACAUCUUGACGGUACCUAAUCAGAAAGCCACGGCUAACUACGUG
rnacentral:rRNA from 1 species